UACGAAGGGGGCGAGCGUUGUUCGGAUUUACGGGGCGUAAAGGGCGCGCAGGCGGCUCAUUUUGUCAGGCGUGAAAGCCCCGGGCUUAACCUGGGAACUGCGUUUGAUACGGAUGGGCUAGAGUUCGGGAGAGGAGAGUGGAAUUCCCAGUGUAGAGGUGAAAUUCGUAGAUAUUGGGAAGAACACCGGUGGCGAAGGCGGCUCUCUGGACCGAGACUGACGCUGAGGCGCGAAAGCGUGGGGAGCAAACAGG
rnacentral:rRNA from 1 species